rnacentral:rRNA from 1 species
AACGCACCUUGCGCUCCUGGGCUAUUCCUAGGAGCAUGCCUGUUUGAGUGUCGUGAAAUCAUCGACCCCAGUUGGAUUUGAAAUUUGACUGGUGGCUUGGACUUGGGGGUUUAUUGCCGGUACCUGUGAUCGGCUCCUCUUGAAUGCAUUAGCUCGAACCUUUUGUGGAUCAGCUUAUCGGUGUGAUAAAAUGUCUACGCCGUUACUGUGAAGCAUAUUAUUCGGCUUCCAAUCGUCCUUCACGGGACAAUAACUUUGACCUUUGACCUCAAAUCAGGUAGGAUUACCCGCUGAACUUAA